UUGGAGGCCAGUGAAUGGCAAGACUAGGAAUAGCUGUACUUUGUAUACAAAAAGAACUUUUCGUCCAAGUGAAAAGACUUAGAUAACAAAGGAAGACGAAAAGACCCCGCGGAACUUUACCUCUUCUUGUAUUUCUGUUUACAUACUUAAAAAUACAUGAGGUUUGAUUGGGGCAAUCUUGGAACCAAUAAAGCUUCCAAUUUUUAUUAAAAAAUAUUUAAAAUUUAUUAAGGACUAAAAAGUAGUUACCCCGGGGAUAACAGCGUAAUCCAACUUAAGAGUACACAUCGAAAGUUGGGUUU
rnacentral:rRNA from 1 species